UACUACUUGUUCACUCUUGAAUCGGAAUUACUGGGCGUAAAGCGCGCGUAGGUGGUUCGUUAAGUUGGAUGUGAAAGCCCCGGGCUCAACCUGGGAACUGCAUCCAAAACUGGCGAGCUAGAGUAUGGCAGAGGGUGGUGGAAUUUCCUGUGUAGCGGUGAAAUGCGUAGAUAUAGGAAGGAACACCAGUGGCGAAGGCGACCACCUGGGCUAAUACUGACACUGAGGUGCGAAAGCGUGGGGAGCAAACAGGAUGAGAUAACCCGGUAGUCC
rnacentral:rRNA from 1 species